rnacentral:rRNA from 1 species
UACGAAGGGGGCUAGCGUUGCUCGGAAUUACUGGGCGUAAAGCGCACGUAGGCGGGUUCUUAAGUCGGUGGUGAAAUCCUGGAGCUCAACUCCAGAACUGCCUUUGAUACUGAAGAUCUUGAGUCCGGGAGAGGUGAGUGGAACUGCGAGUGUAGAGGUGAAAUUCGUAGAUAUUCGCAAGAACACCAGUGGCGAAGGCGGCUCACUGGCCCGGUACUGACGCUGAGGCACGAAAGCGUGGGGAGCAAACAGG